UGUUUCGGCUAGGGGGCCAUCCCGGCUUACCAACCCGAUGCAAACUGCGAAUACCGGAGAAUGUUAUCACGGGAGACACACGGCGGGUGCUAACGUCCGUCGUGAAGAGGGAAACAACCCAGACCGCCAGCUAAGGUCCCAAAGUCAUGGUUAAGUGGGAAACGAUGUGGGAAGGCCCAGACAGCCAGGAUGUUGGCUUAGAAGCAGCCAUCAUUUAAAGAAAGCGUAAUAGCUCACUGGUCGAGUCGGCCUGCGCGGAAGAUGUAACGGGGCUAAACCAUGCACCGAAGCUGCGGCAGCGACACUUUAGUGUUGUUGGGUAGGGGAGCGUUCUGUAAGCCGUUGAAGGUGUCCUGUGAGGGGUGCUGGAGGUAUCAGAAGUGCGAAUGCUGACAUAAGUAACGAUAAAGCGGGUGAAAAGCCCGCUCGCCGGAAGACCAAGGGUUCCUGUCCAACGUUAAUCGGGGCAGGGUGAGUCGACCCCUAAGGCGAGGCCGAAAGGCGUAGUCGAUGGGAAACGGGUUAAUAUUCCCGUACUUGGUGUUACUGCGAAGGGGGGACGGAGAAGGCUAUGUUGGCCGGGCGACGGUAGUCCCGGUUUAAGCGUGUAGGCUGGUUUUCCAGGCAAAUCCG
rnacentral:rRNA from 1 species